AUCCUGGUGUACCUGGCCUCCCAGGCCUUAAAGGAGAUGAAGGCAUCCAAGGCCUACGUGGCCCUUCUGGUGUCCCUGGAUUGCCAGCAUUAUCAGGUGUCCCAGGAGCCCUAGGGCCUCAGGGAUUUCCAGGGCUGAAGGGGGACCAAGGAAACCCAGGCCGUACCACAAUUGGAGCAGUUGGCCUCCCUGGCAGAGAUGGUUUGCCAGGCCCACCAGGUCCACCAGGC
rnacentral:lncRNA from 1 species